CCUACGGGGGGCAGCAGUGGGGAAUAUUGGACAAUGGGGGGAACCCUGAUCCAGCCAUGCCGCGUGUGUGAAGAAGGCCUUAUGGUUGUAAAGCACUUUAAGCGAGGAGGAGGGUACUGGUAUUAAUACUACCAGCUACUGGACGUUACUCGCAGAAUAAGCACCGGCUAACUCUGUGCCAGCAGCCGCGGUAAUACAGAGGGUGCGAGCGUUAAUCGGAUUUACUGGGCGUAAAGCGUGCGUAGGCGGCUAAUUGAGUCGGAUGUGAAAUCCCCGAGCUUAACUUGGGAAUUGCAUUCGAUACUGGUUAGCUAGAGUGUGGGAGAGGAUGGUAGAAUUCCAGGUGUAGCGGUGAAAUGCGUAGAGAUCUGGAGGAAUACCGAUGGCGAAGGCAGCCAUCUGGCCUAACACUGACGCUGAGGUACGAAAGCAUGGGGAGCAAACAGGAUUAGAUACCCUUGUAGUC
rnacentral:rRNA from 1 species